GACGAACGCUGGCGGCGUGCUUAACACAUGCAAGUCGAACGAAGUGGCGAACGGGUGAGUAACGCGUAAGCAACCUGCCCUUCAGAGGGGAAAAACAGUUGGAAACGACGGCUAAUACCGCAUACGGAAGGAGGAGAAUGCGUAUGAGUAGCUAGUGGGAGGGGUAACGGCCCACCAAGGCGAUGAUCAGGAGCCGGUCUGAGAGGAUGAACGGCCACAUUGGGACUGAGACACGGCCCAGACUCCUACGGGAGGCAGCAGUGGGGAAUCUUCCGCAAUGGACGAAAGUCUGACGGAGCAACGCCGCGUGAGUGAUGACGGCCUUCGGGUUGUAAAGCUCUGUUAAUCGGGACGCGGUACCGGAAUAGAAAGCCACGGCUAACUACGUGCCAGCAGCCGCGGUAAUUC
rnacentral:rRNA from 1 species